UACGUAGGGUGCACGCGUUAUCCGGAAUUAUUGGGCGUAAAGAGCUCGUAGGCGGUUUGUCGCGUCUGCUGUGAAAACCGGAGGCUCAACCUCCGGCCUGCAGUGGGUACGGGCAAACUAGAGUGCGGUAGGGGAGAUUGGAAUUCCUGGUGUAGCGGUGGAAUGCGCAGAUAUCAGGAGGAACACCGAUGGCGAAGGCAGAUCUCUGGGCCGUAACUGACGCUGAGGAGCGAAAGCGUGGGGAGCGAACAGG
rnacentral:rRNA from 1 species